GCAGUUUCAUUUUUCCCCCACCAGAUUCAGCAAUACCAUCUGCAGAUGAGAUCCUUUCCGCAGACCUUCAUGUAUGGCGUUGACAAACUGACCUCACAAAGACAAUAGCCUUUGGCCGGGUGAUGCUCCUGAGACGGCUGAAGGAGGAAGAGGUAAUUGUCCUAAAGGAAGUCCAGCAGCACUGGGAAAGCCUAAAGAGGGAAUCGGAGAAUGUGCAAGACCUUGCUUCACAUGUGGCACCUGACCUAAGCAGGCAAACAAACUCAACAUGUGUAAAUAUUUGUAUGAACACGACAAGAUUCAACAACUGAGACAUAAACUGAACAGGUUCCACAGACAUGUGAGUAACAGAAAUGGAAUAAUGUGUCCCUGAACAAGGGGGGUAAGUUAUUAGUCACCAGCUGCAUGAAGUACUGAAGUACUGCAGUGCAUCUCCUCAUGGACUGCACCAGAUUUGCCAGUUCUUGCUGUGAGAUGUUACCCCACCCUUCCAUCAAGGCACCUGCAAGUUCCCGGACUUUCUGGGGGGAAUGGCGCUAGCCCUCAUCCUCCAAUUCAACAGGUCCCAGACGUGCUCAAUGGGAUUGAGAUCCGGGCUUUUCGCUGACCAUGGCAGAACACUGACAUCCCUUUCUUGCAGGAAAUUACGCACAGAGUGAGCAGUAUGGCUGGUGGCAUUGUCAUGCUGGAGGGUCGUGUCAGGAUGAGCCUGCAGGAAGGGUAACACAUGAGGGAGGAGGAUGUCUUCCCUGUAACACACAGCGUUGAGAUUGCCUGCAAUGACAACAAGCUCAGUCCGAUGAUGCUGUGACACAAUGCCCCAGACCAUGACGGACCCUCCACCUCCAAAUCGAUCCCGCCCCAGAGUACAGGCCUCGGUGUAACGCUCAUUUCUUCGACAAUAAACGCAAAUCCGACCAUCACCCCUGGUGAGGCAAAACAGCAACUCGUCAGUGAAGAGCCCUUUUUGCCAGGCCUGUCUGGUCUAGCGACGGUGGGUUUGUGCCCAUAGUCAACGUUGUUGCCGGUGAUGUCUGGUGAGGACCUGCCUUACAACAUGCCUACAAGCCCUCAGUCCAGGCUCUCUCAGCCUAUUGUGGACAGUCUGAGCACUGGUGGAGGGAUUGUGCGUUCCUGGUGUAACUCGGCAGUUGUUGUUGCCAUCUUGUACCUGUCCCGCAGGUGUGAUGUUCGGAUGUACCGAUCCUGUGCAGGUGUUGUUACACGUGGUCUGCCACUGCGAGGACAAUCAGCUGUCCAUCCUGUUUCCCUGUAGCACUGUCGAAGGCGUCUCACAGUACAGACAUGGCAAUUUAUUGCCCUGGCCACAUCUGCAGUCCUCAUGCCUCCUUGCAGCAUGCCUAAGGCACGUUCACGCAGAUGAGCAGGGACCCUGGGCAUCUUUUUUUGUGUGUUUUUCAGAGUCAAUAGAAAGGCCUCUUUAGUGUCCUAACUGUGACCUUAAUUGCCUGUAAGCUGUUAGUGUCAUAACGACCGUUCCACAGGUGCAUGUUCAUUCAUUGUUUAUGGUUCAUUGAACAAGCAUGGGAAACAGUGUUUAAACCUUUUACAAUGAAGAUCAGUGAAGUUAUUUAGAUUUUUACGAAUUAUCUUUGAAAGACGGGGUCCUGAAAAAGGGACAUUUCUAUUUUUGAUGAGUUUAUUUACCCGACACAUUAUGAUUGUUGGUGUCAAUUGAAUCAGUCGGAAGCUGGGAGCAGAGGUCUCUUCUCCAUGCUUCAGAGGAGAGUCAGCAGCCCCAGAAGACACCAGGACUCUGUCCAACUGAU